UCAAUAAAUUGAGAGCACACUGUUUUUUCUACUAUUUUUUAAUAAAAUUUAUCUUGAAAGGUCAGUCACAUGAAAAUUAGAGGAAUUCUACCAUUAAAAGGGAGGAAAGAGUAUGCAUAGAAAAGGGCAAAAACCCACAAAUUUAUUUAUGAUCCAAAGUGAAAAUUGCAAAAAAUUAACAAGAAAAGAAAAAGGAACAAGAAACCUGCUUGGCGGUGAUAGCAGAAAAUCUGAAAUUCACCUUCUUCUCACAGCAAUAAAACAGGAAACAGCAGCCAUUAUAAUCGCCAAAGCAAUGGAGCUCACAUCAUCAAAAAUGGCAGCAAAUCUCAUUUCUUGAAGAUCCCAAAGAGUUGAAACACAUAGACACAACCCUUCAAUCACUACUACUAAGAUUCCCAUAGCUCUUCCCACCUC
rnacentral:misc_RNA from 1 species